rnacentral:pre_miRNA from 1 species
UUUAUUUGACACCGUUGACUUUUAGGUUCAUGUUUGACCUUUCGUCUUAUUCAAAAAAAUAUGUAAUUAUUAAUUAUUUUGUUAUAAUAUGAUUUAUUAUUAUAGCAACUUAAGUAUGCUUUAUAAUUUUACAUAUUUAGAUAUAAAUUUUGAAUAAGACGAAUGGUCAAACGUAGAUUCAAAAGUCAACGGCAUCAUAUAAA